CCAACAAAUGACCAGCCCCCACCACGACUCAGACUCAAACACAAACUCCAAGGAAGCACAAAAAAAACAAAGUUAUAUCUAGUGAAGCCCGUCUUGCAAAACAGGAAUGUGACCGACUUCGGGGGAAAACUAGGACCGGCCGUGUCACUGUUAACAAGCAAUUUCUGAUUCUUACGUAGAGCCCCUUU